UAGGUGCCAAAAGGCUUAAAAGAGGAAGAUGGGUGAAAAUCCCACACAGCCCCCGCUACUGUAAGGUGGACGAAACCAAUAACCACUGGAUUAUUUAAUCUGGGAAGGAAGGGAGUAGAAUGAAACCAAGUCAGGAGACUUACCUAAAAACU
rnacentral:ncRNA from 1 species